CCGGCUGUGCGUGGCGUUUUGCCCCCAUCGCGGGCUCCCGCGUAACGGUGUGCGUUCGUGAAAUCGGCCACGACCAAGACCCCAGUGGGGAGGGCCUGCGCGCCGCUCAGAGAGACCCUUUCAUGGUUUGGGGAGCUGGAGCUGUGGUCACAACUAGGGCCUGGGCUCAUGCAUUGAACUGAUCUGGCUGAGGCAUCAGACACGGUGCCAGUCCUGCCCUGCGGGGAAGACAAGAGCACAAAGUGACAAGCCAGUGUGGACUCACUCUGUCCUGGACCUGACCAGAGAGGGUGGCUGACAAGGCUCGGAAUCGUGGCCUCCAGAGGUUUGUCUGGCAGCAGAAGUAAGAUGGAGAUAUGACUUUAAGAGCUCUGAAACUCCACUGUAAUAACAGCAACCAACAGGGCUUCCAAAGACCAGGCACUUGAAGUGGAUUUGCUCAUCAUUUGACAAGACACCUCUUGACAAGACACCUCCAGAAGGAUUUUGUUUAUUGUAAAGGAUGGAGGAACUGGGGUGAAAAAGAGCCAACAGCUUGCCCAAGAUCAUAUCUGAAGUCCAUGCUUUUGGCCACGUGGCUGUCCUGGGCUUCGGAAGGCUCUGGUGCAGCCUGUGUUAGAGUUUUGUAAUAUAUUGUUUUAUAAUUAUUCACUAUAGACAUUCACUGGUGGGUUGAAGUGUGAGGCAGUGAGCUGUGGGUAUUAAUAACUGACUCGUGUCAGAAGCUUAGCAGUGAACAAAGCACUUUCUCGGAUACGGUUCUUAGAGCUUCUCCUGCUUCUUUUCCCGGGGAAGAAACUUGAGCUGCUAACAUUUUGUAAACCUCCUAAUUUCCUGUAAAUCACAUGUCCCUGCUGAGUGGGGCUGAAAAUGUUUCGGGCAAUGGUUUUCACCCUUAGGUCUGUUCACACUGCCCAGCAGCCAGUUAGCUUCUCUCUGUAGUUUAUGGUGUAGUUUGUCCUUUUUCUGCCGGGGUGGGAGGCAUGGGGCUUUCAUGCUCUGGGGUUUUUGAGGUCUGCCAGCCUCUGGGGAGGGAGGUGUUGGGCAAGCCUCGUGCUCUGGUGGAAACUGACCCCCUAGAUGUGACCUCGGCAUUUCCUAAAGCUGGGGGCGGGACUGGGGUAGGCGGUAGUCAAGGCCCUUUGGUGAAGCAAGCGAUUGUCUCCAGCGUUGUCAGCUUCGCUCCUCCAUAAGACAGUUGCUAAUUUCCACCUCUGUUUUCACCUACAUAAGACACUUUAUGACAGGUUUAACUUUUAUGUUAUUAUUAGCUCUAGCCACUGGUAUUUCAUACUCAGUUCGUCUGAGCUACUUAUAAAGUGACAAGUCCAGCCAGGGCAACAUGGUGAAACUCCGUCUCUACAAAAAUUAGCUGGGCCUGGUGGCAUGCACCUGUAGUCUUAGCUACUUGGGAGGCUGAGGUGGGAGGAUUGCUUAAGCCCAGAAGGCAGAGGUUGGAGUGAGCCAUGAUCACGCCACUGCACUCCAGCUUGGGUGACAGAGCAAGACCCUGUCUCAAAAAAAAAAAAAAAAAAAAAAGUGACAAGUCAGUUACCCUUGGGGUUGGUUUGGUUCCUAAGCUCUAGUGAUCACCUGGAACCAGGAAUGACUAUUGGCCUCUGAUAAAUUAGGCUCCUGGGAUGACUGGUCCUAACCUCAGUCAGAAUCACAUGUUGACCAGCCUCCUGGAUCUAGUGAGUUCUCAGGGAAAUGUGGCUUCCAUAAUAUAUUUCACAUCAGAUUUAACCAUUGUAAUCUGUUCUGCCAAUGAAAUGCCCCCAAACAGAGUGUGUCUCCCUGAAAGCAAUUGAAAAACAUACCUGCUCAUGAGCAUUGUGUAGUUUGUACAAGCAUACUCAUGUGAACUGAAUGGGAAUGCAUUCUUGUGCAAUGCUGGAAUGUUCUUAAGUGUCCAGAGGAUGUGCAUUGAGUUCCAGAGGCUCUGUACCUGCCAGGCCCUGGGCAGGCAUAGAAGGUACAGUCACCUUUAUCUGGAGACAGGUAAAAAAGGAGCUGGAGGAGUUCCCUGAGACCUGGGACACCUGGCAGGUACCCAUUGUCUAGGGACUCAGCAGAGAAUUCAAGCUUUAAGAGGAAUUUUCUUGCUGGACUCUGAGUCCCUGUCAGCCCUCCUAAGUCUUAGAUCAUGCCUCUGAGCCCUGUAGUACUGAAUCAAUGGGGAUGCUUUGGCUGCAAGUAACAAAACCCAAAUAACAGUAAGUAAGAUUAAGCAGAGCUCAGAUCUCCCAAAGAUGCUCUCUGCUCUUGGAAGGUCUCUGUACACAGGAAUGGGAUAUCAGUGCCACUUCCAGCAAGUUCCUGCAUGGGACAGGUAGCCAUAAAGGCUGAGUGUCUGGAGUUCAGAGUAAUAGGUUUUGUCUUCUUGAGUCACAGCCUCUUUAAUAUGUUGAUGAGAAGCCCAGGGAACGUUGAUGUACAAAGUUGGACAUAUAAUUCAGGGGAUUCAUGGAUCUCUGAAAACCAGCCCUGGAUCCCAGUUUAGCCAUCUCUGAUCUAAAGGCACGUGACUUCUCUAAUGUUCAUGGCAGACCUAUUCUGUAAGCCCAUUGUGCAGCCAAGUCAGCAUGCCAUUCCAGUGCAGUGUGAGAGGGCAGAGAUGGGGGCCAAGAGUACAAAUAGAGUGGGACAGUUGUCAUUGCCCAGCCUGUGAGUUGAAGUCUGUGCAGUCAGCCAGUGGGUCUGACAAAGAGGGCAGUGCUGGCACUGCCUCAUGCUUCCGCAGAGGUGAUGAGGUUCAGGCUGAGGUGGAGACCACGCUGCACUCGCCAUGCAUUCAAUGGUGCCCCAUCUCUUGUUCUCUAGGAAGCAUUCCCGCUACCUGUGUGAUGCAGUUGGUUCCACCUAUUCCCAGAGACUCCACCCUGGCCCUCCUUGCCCUGGCCCCCAGCACUGAGCCCCUAGGGCCAUUUAGCUGGCCAGCAUGAUCUAAGACAGCUUUCUGCAGGCAUUCCUCUUGUAGGAGUCAUGAAGCAGCAAUGUGUAUUUUGCUUCUUUUUGUUGUUGUUAUAUUAAAAAAUAUUUUUAUAUUCUA
rnacentral:lncRNA from 10 species